rnacentral:misc_RNA from 1 species
CGCCCAUUGCGCCCCGUGGUAUUCCGCGGGGCAUGCCUGUUCGAGCGUUAUCUCAAACCUCUCCACCUACGGCGCUGUUUCCGGCGUUGAAAGUGGGCUUUGAGCUUUAUCUUGUUUAGCUUCAGACAAGAAAUGUUCUAAAUUUGUGGACAGCAGCGAUUGAGCCUUGAAAUGCAGUGACUUGCAAUGUUUCAAAUAGGUCAAUCAUUUGCUUUGUCAAUGGGAAUAGAUUUCCCACGCAUUUAUUUCUAACCUCGAAUCAGGUAGGGAUACCCGCUGAACUUAA